UUCCGUGGUUUCGCUGAACAAAGGUCGUGAAUUUUGCGAUCGGAUUUUUAGCGCUCGUCGGCUUUCUCAACUUUUAAGCCAUUAUAAAAAUUGUUGAAUUUUUCUGUAGUAAAAUGUGAACUUUGGAUGCUAAAAUAGUUUCAAAUAUUGGCUUUUUAUUUUCUAUCUUUUACAUCAGUAAUUUGCUUCGUUUUUGUUUUAUUGCAAGGUAUAUAAAACUUUUCAUUUGUGCUACUUGCAAAUAUUUUUCAGGAGACUAAUAUUAUAAAUGCAAUGAACAGUGCUGGGUUUUGACUGCAGAAUAUUUUUCCUGUGCAAUGGACCCAUGUUGACAUAUUAGUUGAAAAACAAAUUGAAUAAAAUGUCUGCUACAGUAGAUGGAUCUUCUAACAGUGUGUCCACCACUCAACUCCAUUCCCACAACAAGAGACCCGUUAUCCUAAUAUAUCCUACUGUUUCACCUGAAACGGUGGUAAUUCCAAUUAUUUCCUGCAUCUUCGGCUUCCCGCUUUUGGCCCUGCUGGUCAUCUGCUGUCUGCGCAGAAGAGCCAAGCUGGCACGCGAACAAGCGCGCAGAAGAAACAUGGACUUUGAUCACGGACGAUCACGAGCCAUCAGUCUUCGCUCUGAACGAGGAAUGAGUCGCGGAUUUCCUUCAUUGGAACUGGAUACGGUAAUUGAAGAACGUUCUGAGCCGGAAGCUGAGCAAACCGUAGUGGAGCUGAUGACCCCAGAUGGGGAUAGCAAACCGAUUCCCGCCAGAUAGCAAGAACAGAAUACGGACGGAUGUUCUGAAAGAUCACCAUUAUGGAGUGCUCUGACCCACGCCCAGGCUUUUUCCAUAGACGUGGAUAGCUGACAGGAUCAGUCGGAUCAGUUUCAGCCAACUGAUCCGGUGAUACCCCAAAUGAUUCCCCUUCCCUUCAUUAAAGGGCAUUAGAACAUGUUUUGAUGCAAUUUUUUACAUUUUGCUUCUUCACAGUUUAGUGAAAAUCAUAAAAGGAGCGUAUACAACGGUGGUUCAUUAAGAAUGGAAGGAUUGCGCGCCCAAAACAUAAUUAUCUAUUCAAUUUGAGCUAUGCAAAUGUUGCCGAUGUACGAGCGAAGGGAAAUUUAUUUGCCGAAUUCCAUAAACAUUCCAUAAAAAACAUGUUUGUAACAUUGUGCUUUUUUCAGUUUGAUUCUUGACCAACUUAAAGAAACUUAAACGUUCCCCACUAACGUUCAAAUCACCCUGUCGAUUGAUUGAGCCGAACUUAUUACGAAAGUAGGCCGUUCCAAACAGAUUAUGCAAAUUAUGUUUUCUCGUAAUUUCGCGCGAAAGCAUCAACGGAUAUUAUCUGAAAUUUUCAGUCGGCUGAAAGUACGAAGUGAAAACUUUUUAUCUCAACAGUGAUUUAAUUUUCGGGUUUCUUGUGGUCCUCAAGACAGAAAAGCGUCCGGUUUUAGACAAAACUAUUUUUACAAGCUACUUGUACUGAAAAUUAAAAUGUUAGCGUUAUUUUGAAAAAGUAUGCGUAUUAGUUUUGUUAGAAUGAUUUUUCCAUUCCUACUUCUUGAAUACUGAAAGAAAUAUGUAUUUGGUAUUUCUAAAGUUAUUUUUUCGAAAAUCAAGUUUGAGCAACUUUUCUCCAAAAGAGAAAUGUGCUUACAAAUGAAAUUCCUAAUGCCAUAAACAUGUUUAUUGAAAUUGAAAAUUAUUUUCGCAUCCACUAAACAUGUUUGUAAAAUAUGCUGCUUGACUACUAUAAGACCUUACGGUUUUUUAAUUAAUUAAUUACUACGCUGAAAAUGUGGAAUAUUAUUUAACGCCGGCUCGGCUAUUUUCAAACACGUACUCUUUUAUAUGUGUCAAGGCUUCUAACAAUCAAAAAAGCUAGGUAUUAAUUAUAACUAGGUUCUGUGAAAAUAAGUUAUUUCAGUCAUAUAUGUGGUCAAGCGCCAUCAACUUAAGCAUAGUUUGUCAAGGUUUUGAUUUACAAAAAACUAUUACGGUGGGAAAAGUUGUAACAAUUUGAGUCCAUGAGAAAUGAAUAAAAUGCAUUUUCCAGCAGAUUCAGCGAUUCGAAAAUGUGCACAAUAUUAAAAAUAAAUAGAAAUACAUCGAGUGUCCCAAUAUAUUACAACAACUAUAACGGAAAUGGUAAUGGUAAUAAUGAAAAUAAUAAACUGCCUACAAAAUAUGCAUAAAAAUGUUUGAGUAAGUGACCGCAAUUUCGUUUGCUUUUUAUCGAAAGAAAUAAUUUUAUUAUUAUAUUAUUGCAAAAUUCUGAAAAAAAUGUUAUAAACAACUGCCCGACUUCCCAUUGAAAGAUCCGUUUCUUCACACAAAAAAUCACAAAUCAAGGCAAAACGGCGUUCAUUGGAACAUAUUUUUUCUGCAUUAAAAUGAAAGACCUCAACAGUGCACGUCUUAAAUACGAGCACCACUUUAGACAACACUCUGUAUAGGAAUUUGCCCAUUCUUAAUGAGCCACUGUAUAGACACGAAAGUUGAAUCCUUAUAAAACCAAAAUUAAUUAAUUGACCAAAUUUUGCAGGUUGUUAUUUUUUCAAGAGUGAUAGAUACAAGGGGACAAGCAACGUUUCCUACGCAAAGCAAUUAGCUGAAAAAAUCUGCAUUAUACAUGCGCUAUUAGAACCAAAAUUACUAGAUCUACCUCUCUGCUGAGUGUUAUUUAUACUAAUUGGCAAGUUAGACGAAAAUGCACAUUACAUACAUUGCAUUUUACAUACCCACACAGAAAUUAAGAACCAAAUCUAUGAAUUCGUUGAGAAAUUCUUAGAUUUAUUUUAAUGUAAUUCUUUAGAACCUAAAACAUCCUCUAUUGGAAGUUAAAUAUCAUUCAUAACUCAUAGGAAGAUAAUCAUUCAUAACACAUAUCACAUUCAUUUCCUCCACUCUUAUGGUAGUGGUAACUACAAUCAAGCAAAUCAACCAUAUAUUGUAAAUAUAAAACAUAUUUUUUAAGAAAGCUCCCUUGCACCGACUGUAUGCCAUUGAUGUAUGUAGCGUAAAUUACUACUUUUAUUAGAAUCUGCAAGUGUAAAUCAAUGCUCGAUUAGAAUAUUUUGUUAUAA
rnacentral:lncRNA from 1 species